CCCAGCUGGACCUCCACUGCGAUGACCUGGUGAAAAUCUUCCAGAAGAGGGGAGGGCACACCGCAAGAAAACUGCAGUCAGUGACAUUUGUGUUCCACCAGCAGGAGAUCAUCAGCGACAUGCCCAUGGCCACCGACUUCAAGUCCUGCUGGCCAGAAAUGUUGGAUAUUGGAGAGAUCCAUGCAGAGUUGACGCGUCACCACUGCCACUGCAGUUAAAGUUUCUUUCCCAGCUGGACCGCCAUUGCGAUGACCUGGUGAAAAUUUUCCAGAAGAGGGGAGAGCAAACCGCAAGAAAACUGCAGUCAUUGCAGGAGAUCAUCAGCGACAUGCCCAUGGCCACCGACUUCAGGUCCUGCUGGCCAGAAAUGUUGGAUAUUGGAGAGAUCCAUGCAGAGUUGACGCGUUACCACUAUGCCACUGCAGUUAAAGUUUCUUUCCCAGCUGGACCUUCACUGUGAUGACCUGGUGAAAAUCUUCCAGAAGAGGGGAGGGCAAACCGCAAGAAAACUGCAGUCAGUGGAUUUCACUGCAGCUCAGGUGCAGCUCAGCAAACG